rnacentral:rRNA from 1 species
UGGGGAAUAUUGCACAAUGGGCGAAAGCCUGAUGCAGCAACGCCGCGUGAGUGAUGAAGGCCUUCGGGUUGUAAAGCUCUGUCUUUUGGGACGAUAAUGACGGUACCAAAGGAGGAAGCCACGGCUAACUACGUGCCAGCAGCCGCGGUAAUACGUAGGUGGCAAGCGUUGUCCGGAUUUACUGGGCGUAAAGGAUGCGUAGGCGGAUUUUUAAGUGAGAUGUGAAAACCCUAAGCUUAACUUGGGGACUGCAUUUCAUACUGGAAAUCUAGAGUGCGGGAGAGGAGAAUGGAAUUCCUAGUGUAGCGGUGAAAUGCGUAGAGAUUAGGAAGAACACCAGUGGCGAAGGCGAUUCUCUGGACCGUAACUGACGCUGAGGCAUGAAAAGCGUGGGUAGCAAACAGGAUUAGAUACCCUGGUAGUCCACGCCGUAAACGAUGAGUACUAGGUGUAGGAGGUAUCGACCCCUUCUGUGCCGCAGUUAACACAAUAAGUACUCCGCCUGGGAAGUACGAUCGCAAGAUUAAAACUCAAAGGAAUUGACGGGGUCAUAGCUGUUUCCU